ensembl:lncRNA
GAGAAGAUGGAUUCAUUUCAGGAGCAGCUCAUCUACUAACAAGGUAUCUGAUAGAACAUGGAAGAAGCAAUUUAUUACACUAAAUAGCCUGAGAUGUAAGAUCCAUUCACAGCAAAAACCAUGCCUGUCUUUUCACUGAUACUGGAACGGGAGCCUCCAAGUUAACAAAAACAUUCUGCACAUAGAAGGAGCAUGGGGAAAUGAAAAGAAGACAAGUGUGGCUGAAAGACAGGCUGUAAGGAAGAGUAAGAUGGAAACUUUGGCAGAGUGGAGCCUGAACUAUACCUGUCUCAUAUGCACUAACAUUCUUGAGGAGUUCCAGCCAGGAGACAUCAGGAGAUAUUAAUGGAGAACGGGAAAUAUUGAUGGACACUGGCAGUCAAGCAGCCACCAGCCAGCAGCAAAGAAGCCCAGCCAGGAAGGAAGGGUCUUAACUUAGAGCCAGAAUAUUCCACAGAAGAACUUCGAAGGAUUCAUAAUGAGUUUGUCUUCUGUACAGUAGUUGAUUCUGGGAGUGAAGCAAUGUCGCCACCUACUGCACAGAACACGAUAAUGAUGAUGACAAAGUAGACAAUUCUCCAAUUUUAAAUAACUAAGUAAAAAUUAGGCUAAUACAUCCAUAUACAUUACACAACUCUUGAAUUUUAUCACCAGUAAUAAAAGUUACUUAAU